CCAAACUUGGUCAUUUAGAGGAAGUAAAAGUCGUAACAAGGUCUCCGUUGGUGAACCAGCGGAGGGAUCAUUACAGGAAUAUGCACUUGCGCCCCCGUGGCAAAAGCGCAAAACCCCAGUGAACUUAACCUCUCACAGGCGUCCCAGGUUGCACCGGUCAGCCCGUUUCCCCCGUCUCCGGGGGUUUCGGCAGCCGGGGCUCUGGGCGCACAACAAAACACAUCUAGCCACCGUAAGGAUACUUCUGAUUUUACUUGAGAUAAAUAGCUGAAAACUUUCAACAACGGAUCUCUUGGCUCCAGCAUCGAUGAAGAACGCAGC
rnacentral:misc_RNA from 1 species